UACGUAGGGGGCAAGCGUUGUCCGGAAUCAUUGGGCGUAAAGCGCGUGUAGGCGGCCCGGUAAGUCCGCUGUGAAAGUCCAGGGCUCAACCCUGGGAUGCCGGUGGAUACUGUCGGGCUCGAGUCCGGAAGAGGCGAGUGGAAUUCCUGGUGUAGCGGUGAAAUGCGCAGAUAUCAGGAGGAACACCGAUGGCGAAGGCAG
rnacentral:rRNA from 1 species